AUACCGGGCCUUUUUGGGCUUGGUAAUUGGAAUGAGGGAGAGUUAAACGGACCAUCGAGUAUCCAUUGGAGGGCAAGUCUGGUGCCAGCAGCUGCGGUAAUACCAGCUCCAAUAGCGUAUAUUAAAGUUGUUGCAGUUAAAAAGCUCGUAGUUGGACUUGUGUGCGCUGUCCGCGGGUGGCCUGCGCCCAAAAGGGCGUUUCGGUUCGGCCCCGGUGGCGCCUUGAAAUCUGCAGCUGGGGGGACGUUGGCCUUAACUGGUCGGCGACCGCACGCCGGCUGCUCGGUUACUGUGAGAAAAUUAGAGUGUUCAAGGCAGGCAUUGGGUGCAAUUGAAUACAUUAGCAUGGAAUAAUAAAAUAUGGCUCCUGCCGUAUUUUGUUGGUUUUGACUGGUGGGAGUAAUGAUUGAUAGGGACGGUUGGGGGUGCUAGUAUGGAGCGGCCAGAGGUGAAAUUCAUGGAUUCGCUCAAGACUAACUUAUGUGAGAGCAUUCACCAAGGACGUCCUCUUUAAUCAAGAACGAAAGUUGGGGGAUCGAAGACGAUCAGAUACCGUCGUAGUCUCAACCAUAAACUAUGUCGACUUGGGAUCGGCGGUAGUUUUUUCAUUAAGACACUGUCGGGACCACGGGAGAAAUCAAAGUGUCUGGACUCUGGGGGAAGUAUGGUCGCAAGGCUGAAACUUGAAGGAAUUGACGGAAGGGCACCACCAGGAGUGGAGCCUGCGGCUUAAUUUGACCCAACACGGGGAAACUUACCAGGUCCAGAGAUGUAGAGGAUUGACAGAUUGAAGCUCUUUCUUGAUCACUUCGGUGGUGGUGCAUGACCGUUCUUAGUUGGUGGAGUGAUUUGUCUGUUUAAUUCCGUUAACGAACGAGACCUCAGCCUGCUAGUGUAGUCGGCUGGAUUGCCUUUGGCGAUCCGUGAUUUCGACUUCUUAGAGGGACAAUCGACGCGCAGUCGAUGGAAGUUUGAGGCAAUAACAGGUCUGUGAUGCCCUUAGAUGUUCUGGGCCGCACGCGCGCUACACUGCUGGGCUCAGCGAGUUUUACUUGGCCGAGAGGCCCGGUUAAUCUUGUGAAAUCCCAGCGUGCUUGGGCUCGCCUCCUGCAACUGGAGGCGCCAACGAGGAAUUCCUAGUAGACGCAGGUCAUCAACCUGCAUCGAUUACGUCCCUGCCCUUUGUACACACCGCCCGUCGUUCCAUAAGAGUGAGGCAUCCGGUGAAUUCUCGGGAGAGCCUGGGCGUGGCCAGCAAUGGUCUGCUCGGGUUUGAACUUGCAUAAACUUGGUGCCUAUGAUUAGGG
rnacentral:rRNA from 1 species